rnacentral:lncRNA from 1 species
AGUAAAAGAAUGUACCUGGACAGGGACCACAGUGUUGGUUAACACAGUAGAGUGGCAUAGCUAUAAGUUCUCUUCUCCUGAUGGUAAAGACUAGCACUACCUACGAAGUAGGCAAAGUCCCCUGCGUGAUAGACUGUACCCUCAAACUAUGAUUCAGAACAUACCCUUCCUCCUUUAAGCUACCUUUGUCAGGCAGUUUAUUAUAGUGACAAGAAUAUUAGCCGUUUUGCUGGACAAAUACCCAGUGACUGCUGAUCUGCAGAGUGAGAGGCAGCUGUGGGACAAACUGACUGGCACCUUGCUCUCCACAGGAAAGUGGAAAUUGAUUGCAGCAAGAGUGGCUUGGUUGCCCUUUGACCAGUCAUGGGGGGUGGGGAAUGACAGGUUUCAUUUGAUCCAUUUGCUAAAUGUGUAAGGGCAGCAGUUGACACCAUGAAACAUCUGGCCCUGGGUCAUCUCUAACAGAAAUAAGACAAUCAUUUGUGGACCAGUCUGGUCCACCAUGCUGACCUUGGGCCCAAUUUAGUGACAUCUGGACACGUGUAGGAGGCAAAUUAUAGCAUCGUUCUGACAACAAUUUUAUAUUAAACCAAAUAGCCGAUGCUCAGCUGUCCACACAAAGGCUUGGAAGGCUUUCAAAUGGUUCUGGGUCUCGCUGCAGAUGGUGAAGCCAUUCUUGUGCACGAUGGCUGACGGUUUCAGCUGAAAGUUAGCAUCAGAAGCACAGCUACCAAUUAUACUGUUAAUCCAUCCUUUGGACAGAUAUUUAUAGUGACUUCGUUAGGCUCCAGACACUCUCUGUGCUCAUGCAUGUAUAUAUACUCAUUUGGUCCUUCAGUUAACCAGUGAAUUGCAACAUCACACAUACUGUGAAGAUGAGUGAAGGAACACUCAGAGAACAAGAUCAUGAGACCAGAAGAAAUUCCAUACAACAGAGGCAGGGUUUCAUCUCCAGAGUUUCGUGUGUGUGUGUCUGCUCACAUUUGUGUGCACGUGUGGGUGCAUAUGUCAGAUAUCUUUCUCAAUGUCUCUUGAUAUUAUUUGUGGAGACAGGUUUUUUCUUUUGAUAUUUUACUUAAAAAUCCAACAUUGUAAUAUUUAGGUAGAUACAUUACUUUAUGCAAUAAUAGAUUUUGGCAUACAUCCAGAUCUCACUGAUCCAGCUAGGCUGGCUGGCCAGCAUCAGAGAUCCUCCUGUUGCUACAUUUGCUUUCACCAUUAACUGCCUGUAGCUCCUACGGGAAUGAUGGUCCUUAUAAGUAUCUCUCCCAUGACCAUUAACGGAAUGAAUAUUUCUUAGACAAAGCAGAGAAUGCUUGGAGACAGGUCUCUGUAUGCCUCCUUGCAUACACUUGGCAUGUGCUCUAUAGACUGAAUCAUGCUCUCACUCCUGAUAGUCACAGGAUGGGGCCUAGCACUCAAUGUUAAUUUCUUUGAAGAUAGGUCCCUCAUUGAAGUAAUUAAGGUUAAAUGAGUUCCCAAGGGUAAGACUAAUCUGAUUGAACCACUUCCUUUAUAAGAAGACUAGAUUCUAGAACAUUCUCUCUCCCUGAGGACAUAAGAGAAAGGCCAUAUGAAGACAUACUAGGAAAGCUAAUGCUUGUGAGCCAGGAAGAGAAACCAUACCAGACCCGAACCAUGAGAGGCUAAUAUCCGCCUCAGCACAUGGCUUCCAUUGUACCUUGCAGCUCUCACUAAACCAACACCAGGGAAAGUGGUAGUCUCUCUCACCAGGGUCCUUCCUGUGGCAAUGUCUUGCUUUGUCAUUCUUGUUUGCUUAUUUGAAUUAAUGUUUAAAUCAAAUUUUAUUUUUUUAUGAAUAAGUCAUUUGAAAAUUUCAAUACUUUUGUGUAUGUAUGAUUAUGUCUAUGUAUGUGAGAAUGCAUAUAAAGUUUGGAGGUCAACUUUUACUGUUGCUCCUCAGAAGAUACCUUUGACUUCUUUAAAAAUAUUUUAUUACAUUUAUAUUUAAUGUGUGUUUCUUUCUGUGUCUCUAUGAGCGUGUAUGGAUGCCAUGAUCAGAGGAUAAAUUGUAGAAGUUGGUUAUUUCCUUCUACCAUGGGAGUUCCAGGAAUCAAACUCAGGUCAUUAAGCUUCAUAGCCAUCACCGUUACCUGCUGAGAUUUUUCCCAGCCCACCUCACUUUCUUAGACAGCGUCUCUCAUUUUACCUGGAGCUUAUCAACUGAGGUAGAUCUCUGGCCAGUGAGCCCCAGGGAUCUAUUUAUAACUACCUCCUGGAUUUAUAGGUAGGAUUGUAAGAGAUCCAUCUUUUUAGACAUAGCCUCUGCUAAUAAAACAGAUCUGCAUGCUUGAUCUCUGAACCAUCUCCAUAGCCACAAGACUUCACUACUUUAUUAGAAACAGGGACUGAAGGCGUUUUGUAGAGCGUGGAAUAGGGGUAUAGCUAUAGAGAAUUGCCUCAGGAACCUACAUCAGGGAAGCAGGACCGUGAGUGACAGUUGAGCACGUAAUAGGCUGGUUCAGGGACACCUCCAGUGAGACUGUUGGGGGAUGAAGUAUGACUGGAAUCCCUGGUUACUUUGGCAGGCAGAGGAUGAGUAAUGAGCUUGGUCCCCUGAUUGCAUCUCUCCUCUAGCUUUGAAGCCUUUCUGUCUCAAGUCCAAGGAAAUGAGUAAUUUGCGCCAGCCAGUAACAAAAUCAGAAUAAUUUAUUUACUUCACUGCCUAUGUUUCUGCACGUUCCUCUGGUAAGUCAGUUCAAUAAUUAAAUUUACGUUGACUUUAUAUUUUCCUGCAUUCAUUCUGGAACUCCCCCUAUCGUGUUGGAGUAAAGUGCUUCAAUACUUAGUUUUACAUUUAUUUUUUUUCCCCAGUAAAAUUUGGUCCCAUUGAGAAUGUUCAAUGGGAUCAAAGCUUGCUACUCCAUCUGCUUAAUCACUUGAAUGAAAAGGCAUGCUCAUAUUUAAAAGCAGACUUUUGAAGACUAUAGCUAUGUUUGUUAGCAGUGAAGAUCCAAGUAAACAAAAGCAGAGUUUUAGCUUUUAUAGAACUAUAAUUAAAAUAAAACUAAACCAUGUAUUUUCUUAACUCCUCUAUUUUCUUUACUCUUCUAUUUUCUUUGUCCUCGAAUGAGGAAUAUUAGUUUUCGUACGUCUGUUUACAUCUGUGAGUAUAUAGGGGAUGCGGCUUUAAUUUUAAAAUUAUCCCAUUUAUUUAUUGAGGGUGUGUGCAUGUACAGAGCUCAGAAGAAAACUUUUGAGAGUCUCUUUUCUCCUCCUACAGAGUUAGUACCCGAGGUUGAACUCAGGUCAUCAAGCUUGGCCUCCAGCAUCCUCACAGGAUGAGGGAGUUCACUGACCUAGAGAGAAACACCUGUAUGACACCAUUUCAAGACGGCACGGCUGAUUUAAUUGAGAGUGUGUCUCUUCAUCUGUCACUGAGAGUCAUCUACAACACUUUGGUUUUUCAGCAGCAAAUAUAGUUCUUUCCUAACAGCUUGGAGGGAUUUUGUUUCUGGGAAUUCUGCAGCACACAUCCCCUGACCAGAGUUUAAGGUUUGACUGUCUAUCCCUGAGAUGCACUGCAGCUGAGUAAAUCAUCCCUUAAUCUUAUAAAGUGCUUUUUAUCCUGAGAGGUUUAAGGAGUAUCUGCUCUUUAAAUUAAUGUUUGUGUAAUCUGAAGGCUUUGCUUCUCAGAGGAGAUAUUUUAUACAACCUGGAGAUGUAUUUGGUAGAAUUACUUCAUUUAUAAAUCAAUGUGAGAGAAAAUGGUGGCAUCUUAACAAAAUGUGAAAGCAAACAAAAAGAUGAAAAUGUUGAUGACUAUAGAGCUGAUAGAAUUUAUAUGCCAUUAUUCACAAUAUCCAAGAAAUGGAAUCAAGUAAAAUGUCUGUUGGGAAAAAAAUAGGUGGGCAGAGCAUAGUUGGUAUGUUUAUACAGCGGGAUGCCCAUCAGCCUUGAAGGAGGCAGUCUUGAUGCUUGUAACAGCGGGAAUGAACCUGGAGGACUUCAGACUAAAUGAAUAAGGCACAGAGAGAUAAAUGUCCCAUGACCUCACCUCCGUGUUGAAUAUAAAAGGGAUCAAGAACAAGUACAAGCAUUGAAUAGAAGUGGACUUCUCCAAAGGCUGGAGGGCAUGGGGAGAUGCUGGCCAGAGGCAUGUGUACCAGAACACACAUGUACAUACAUGCACACAAAUAUGUAUAUACUCACAAAAUACAAAAGAGUGAAACACACAUUUAUAUGUAUAUAUUUGAUGUGUGUGUGUGUGUGUGUGUGUGUGUGUGUGUGUGUUUGCAGGCUUCAUUACAAUGUGUGUACCAAUUUUCUUUUCCUUCUUCACUUCCUGGGAAAUUUCUAUUUUGCUAGUGACUUGUUUGUGUCAAGGUCAUGGAGAGGACUAAAGAGAUUUUGGACCCAUGAACCAUCAUUCUUCAAGUCCAUGGGUCUCUCUGUAAUACCUUCCUGAAAAUAAAGAGCAACAGUCCCUUACAGGGCAUAGCUGAGACUGUCCUCCAGAGGUGCUAGCUCUCUCACUGGAUUUGCUAGGAUUAUCCAAGACUCCCAUUGCCUUGCAGAGAGUUCCAGAUGUCUGCUGUGCAUGGCUUUCAGGCUUCCCUGAUUAAGACAGGCAAAGGGGAUUUUGCACAUUGCCUGGCUGAUUAGAAAGUCAGCCUAUAGAUCCCAGAAAGCAGGAAGCCUUGAUGAUCUUCGUGUUAAGUUCUCAGAGUUAUUAAACACUCAUCUUCCAUAAAGCAUC